CAUUCUGCUACACAGAUGCUGUUUCCUUUGCCCAGCACACCUGUCACUCACCUCAACCCUUUCUCUCUUUUCCCCAUCUUUCUGUGGCUAGCUCCUCCUCAUUCUUUAGGUCUCAGUGUAGAUAGCACCACUAUCAGGAAGGAGUCCAGACACUGCCAGGCCUAAGAAAUGUAAAUUAAAUGCUCUCAAGGGAUGAGAGACACUGGAAGCUGGGACGCUCUUGGAACUCUGUUGCCAUCAUCAAGGUCAGCAGUCCAACUACCAGGGCCAGAGCCCCAUCAAAGAAUCUUCAGUGCCAGCCAGAAAGAAUGAUGAACUCCUCGUGUAAAGGGAGUUUGGGGCAACCAGUCAAACCAUGGCCUCAUGGGAAGCAGCUGACUAGGCAAUGAGAGAGGAAUACAAAAGACAAGGCACUGCGAAGCCAAGUCUGGUUGGGGAGAAGAAACCAAUAUGCCUGAAACAGGGAACCAGAAAGGACUCAGACAAAACUGCUGACAAGUAUGGGGUUUCUUGGGGUAGGUGGUGAAAAUAUUCCAAAAUAAGAUUAUAGCGAUGUUUUAAUAAUCCCCUGGAUAUAAUAAAAAAACAUCGAAUUGUACACUUCAAAUGAGUGAACUGUGUGGUAUGUGAAUUAUAUAUCUCAAUAAAGAUGUUUUAAAAAGAAGACACAGGCUGGGCACAGUGGCUAAUGCCUGUAAUACCAACACUUUGGGAGGCUGAAGUGGGCAGAUAGCUUGAGCCCAGGAGUUUGAGAACAGCCUGGGCAACAUGGUGAAACUCUGUCUCUGCAAAAAAUACAAAACAAAACAAAACAAAAACAGCUGGGUGUGGUGGUGCUAGCUGUAGGU
rnacentral:lncRNA from 1 species